UGUGUUUACAGUUGCCAAUAUUUGUUUAUGUGAAACAUUAUAUCUUUAUAUAAUUCUUCAUAUCCCUCCCAUUUAAUUUAAGUUAUGAAGGUUGUAGAGAGGGGUUACAAGCCAGACUAUUGAUUUUGCCAGCUUACACCAUCUGGAGUUUUUUCUUCCUUAGUCUUAAGUACCAGGAAACAGGGUCAGGAAAUCCAGAACUCUGACCAUAAAGAAUGUGUUUUUCAAAAAAAGUCACGCUAGUUUUAGCAAAGUACAGAGUUGAAUUUUUCAGCAGUGCUGACCAUUUGGGACUCCACUCAGAAUCAGUGGAAACAAUCAGUGUGUAUAGCUGCACACUGGGAAAGAAAUCAAUAAACCUGCAGUUUACAUUUCUGAGACCGAGCAGUACUGAUCAAACCAGCUUCCUUGACACCCUUGCACCUCAGUGCAUAGAACUGUGACAGGAACAAUGGAAGGUGAAGCUAGAUCUUGCUUUGAAGACAGGGUAGCUUUAUUUAACUGAGUAUUUUUUAAUGGGCCUAAGGGGUUAAGCAACUUUCAUAAAGGGUCUUGAAAGUAUGAUGAGGGGCUGAACCCUGGGCUCAAAUUUGCCAGUGUUGCUCCAUGCAUUUUUGUACUCUUUUGUAUUCUUUUUGGACCUCUGUAAUUCCAGAAGCCUCUUUGAUAUUAAAGUUUGCACAAACUCCUCUAAAGAGUGAAAACAAUUAGCAAAGACUGGCAAAGAGUGAUCUAAACAAGUCUGUCUGCCUCUCCAGGGUCAGCCUCAAUGACAAGCUCAGCAUCAUUUUGAAACCACACACCAUAUCAAACCACAAAUCCUAGCAUUCCUAAAUGGUUCACAAUGCAGCUGUGUGUGCAAAGACAAGGAGGUCCAUAAGGCCAUAUUUAAAAGGCAUUUGAAUACCUAACUAUUAUUGUCUUAAGCCAAGGUUCGUGAAAUAGAUUUGGACCUCUGCUUAUGGUGUUCUUUUUUCUAGUUAGUAAUUUGUUUGCAAACAGAAAAGUUCUUAGAGAAGCAAUCUAAAUUAAAGUUCUUUCUUUACACAGAUAAAAAUGCCUGCCUGUAAUCUGCCCAGCUGUAGAUGAAUGAACUAAUGAUAGGCUCUGCUUUAAGAUAAGGAAUUGCAGCUCUUCAUCUACCUGCUUAUUUGGACUGGCUUCCAGAGUUCAGAAAAAAAAGUAUCAAAUAAGAUUUCAAACAAGAAAAGAGAUUUCAUGGCCCAGCUUCUUCUCUAGUGGAUUUGGAGAGCUAGGCUUCUGAGAGUCUAUCCGCCAAAGCAACACAAUGCAUGAAAAGAUAAUCACUAGGGAUGCUGAGGAAAGAAACAAGGAUUAAGUGUUUAAAAAAAGCACAGCAAUCAGUGUCUGGGUGGAUGUGUUUUCUUGAGCUUACCAUGAAGUCCAGUUAACCUUGUUAACCACUCAGUGGAAGGAUGCCAACAUCUAUGACACCAAAACAGGUGAUUCCUGAAGGUUCUGCAUACUCUGAAGCUCCUUCUGGCCCGGUGCUUUUUAGGGUUCACUCAGCAUCCUGACCUGGGGUUUGGUCCCUUGCCAAGCUGACUGGCAGUUGUGAAAGCAAACAAAACAUAGAUUGGUUGCAAUGUCCUAUCAGUAUGUUGUAUUUUGAGAAGGGUAAAGGUGUACUAAUAUUUCUACCCCUAAAUUAAUAUGAGUAACUCUAAAACAAAUUAUUCCAGUUGGAAUGCAGACCAGGUGCAUGAUAUUUUCAAUUUUCCUGUUAAAUAGAAGUGAAUGUCUGCAAAAGGGAGAAAUAGUCUCUCUGGGGUUUUUUUAGGAGUGGGAGGGCAGCUACAUGUUGCAACAUGGACAUUUUUUUCAGCUGAAGCCUUCCUUAUUUGGGAUUUUAAAAUGUAUUUUCCUCCUACUUUCCACACAGCAGGACACGUGUAUUGUUUCCUGGAAUUGGAAUGAUCACCCAUUGUUAUCCAGAUAGCUUUAGCCAAGCAUUACUUUCAAGCAGCAAUAUCCCAUGAGAAUUUAAUCUCCAGAAAAAGAGAACCUAUAUUAGAAUGCAGUUCCUCAGAGUUCACAAAUUGCUAUUAGAAUAGCAACGUUCCACGUGCUUGCUGAGACAUGGUAAGUAAACCAGAAGGAAAGACAAGUCACUCUAUGAGCAGCAGAACUAGUGAAGCCUGAUUUCCUCCAAAGCCAUGCACUCUGUCGCCCAACACCACUCCCUACAACAAGCCAGUUUCCCUUCCAGUAUCCCAGGAGAUGUGCAUCUCAGUAACUUGAGAACUUCCUGUGCUUGCAGUGUUUCCAGUUCACCACUUGCCUCUAUAUUCUCUUCUCUUUUCCCACCCUCUGUGUUUCUGAGGUGAGGGGAGAGAUCCUGGCUCAGUUAGGAACAGUCUAAUGAGCCAGGCAGUGCCACGUGCCCAGGGGACAGCCAAAGCACAUGGGAUGCCACACCAUGCCAAAGGGAAUGGUGUGUAGGAGUUCCCUCAGCAAGAAUACUGGGUUUUGUUUUCUUUCUCUGUAGAUACAUAACAUAAUUAAUUGGGUAAUUAAGUGUCUUUGCGAUGUCUGGUUUUGUCACACAGGCUGAAAUGGAUCAACAGAUUGAAAAGUGAGGAGGAGAGACUGAAAAAACUUUCUUCCUUAGACACAUAUGCUGGUAGUGUACCUGCCAUUUAGCACUGAAAGAUAUAGCAUUAGCUAUUUGAGACAUCUGGAUGGCACAUAAUGAUUAUAGUAUGGAAACUCAAAUAAAUAAAUAAACAAACAAUUAGUUAUCUACUGCAGCUGGGUAAUUCAGUGGGUAUGAAGUUUAGCAUAAAAAACAACUGGCUGCCCUCUCAUGUUGUUGAGCUGGAGGGUUCAUCUAUAAAUUAGUAAAUGGACUCAGUGUCCGCUCUUCUUUCCUUAGUCUUAGUUAUAUGAUGUAUAUAGAACAAAAGUUGAGCUCUACAGAGUCUCUUUUUGAAGUUUGUGCUCUGUUUAAUAGAGUAACCAAAUCUAUCUGACUUCCCAGAAGACUUAUUAUUUAGAAUUGGAUAAAUGUAUUUAGGGUUUGGAAAGUUUUAUUUGUUUUCUUCACCCAGCCAUGCUAACUGUGUUCUAACAAAUAAACACAGGUAUAUGAAGUAAUUUUUUUUAAAAAAAUUCUAAUACAUUGUGUUUAUGGGAGUUGAGAUGUCAUAAUCACGUUGCAUAUGUUAUUAACAUGAGACCAUCUAGAGGAAAGAGUGCUUUAACCCUUAUAUGAAUACAAAGCGAGCUUCUUCUUUUAUGAAUUUAUUUCCUUCCAUUAUAUAUAAAUUUUCUUUCGCUAUGGAUCCUCACAUAAGGCAAUGGUUUAUUUUAAGUCCUUUCUACUAUUUCUUGCUAGGAUUUAAAACUUGAGUCAUUAUAUUUUAUAUAAUCCACAUCACUGUAAGUGCUGUAACUUGAUUACUCCCCAGAGGUCUCUUCAUGUUGAUCACAUUGGGAUAGCUUCCUUCAUGUGGCUAGGGCAAUUAUAUUAAAGUCUGAAGAACCAAGACUGUAUUCUUUGAAAAGUGGCUGGAUCUGAAAUAUAAGCUAUUCCAUACUGUAGUAAAUGCCAUGUAAUGGAAACAUAAAAAUAACUAACUUGAAAGAUUCAAAAUUAUAUAUGUUUUUUUGCAGCUCACAGAGUAACUUUUAAUAACUGCUGGUACAGCUGUUACAAAUAAAAUAUGCUUUCUGAUUCAGUUGCUUACUUUUUUUGGAUGACAAAGUUACUUAAUAGACAGUCCUUUGCUUUCAAAGAAAUUAAAAAUUCUGGAGAAUUAAAUACGUAUUUAUCUAUUUAUUGCAAACAGAACUAAGCAUCUGUCUAUUUCAGCUAAGAUACUUAGUUCACUCUCUGAAUGCCUACAGCAAAGUUUACUUCUUUGUGCAGGUGAAGAAUUUUGAUUGUUUUUUUUCCUAAUCCUCAAUUCCUCUGUUUUAUUCUCUUUUCUCUUGUACCAAAUACAAAAGGUCCAUUUGUCUUUAACAAUUGAUUGAACCAAGAGUUGUGUAUUGUAUAUGUCCAUUGUGCCUUUUUAGUAGCCUGUAGUAGUUUGUAGUUUUAGUAGCCUCUAGCUGUUGCUUCUACUCAUUAUUUCUCACGAAUUUUUAGUAGCCUUUAGUUAUUGUUCCUACUCAUUAUUACCUUGCCUUACCUGCUCUGCCUGUGUCACAGAAUGCUCUUCAGAGCUGGAUAGACUUUAUCAAACAUGAUAUCACUCCUUUAUAAAGCCUCCUGCUAGGUCUUGUCAUUUGUGCAUGAGGGAUUGCAGAUUGCUCAUCAAUCUGAGAUUCCAAGCUGACUGCUUGUGCCAAAGUGUCUCCUGCCUCUCUUCCCCUGUCCUGGGAGGACUCAGCCUUAGCAAUCUAUUAAAAAGUGCAAGGCUAAGGCAGAUAAGCCGCAAGACAAAGUGGAAAUGAAAAGGGGCUCCUGAGGUCCAGAGACAGAUGCAGUGUAGAAAGUGUGAAAGUGUAAUUCAAGACAACAACCUUGUGCUGCUCCUCAGUUUUUUAUAGGACCUGGAGCAUGCCAAUACAUCCUCAUACAGUAUCUCUGCUUUUCCCUGACCUCUGAGCAUAGAAAAGGGUUGCUAGCCUGUGAAAAUGGCUGUGCCCUACAACUGUAGAGCUUAGCUGUGUUUUGAUGGGUUUGGCUUUAUUGGUUAUUGAACAACAGAAUGUAAAUCUUGGGCUAUGCUUUCUCCCCAGGGUUCUCUAUUCCCAUGACUGCACGUGACUAUUCCCUGUCUGCAACGUCUUCUACUGCUAAGACCAUGGUCUCUCCCUCACUUUUCAAACGCAGAUAAAUUAACCACAGGAUCACUGAACCCAAAGAGACCUCAUGUCUUUCCUGGUAUACAGCUGAAUGGACCUGAUGACUACAUCAGCCAUUUUACUGGAGCAGUUUUCAGGUGUUUUCUAAAUCUUCAUCUGCCCUGUGCUGUUCAUUGUAAGCAACAACAAUUUAAUAUGUAGAGAGCCAAAUGACAGGCCUUUUUGAAUACUCCUAGGCAGUAUAUGCUGUAUAUGCUCCUCUUCCUGAGGAGUUUGGGCAUGCAGCCAGUUUAUUUAAAGGCAUCUAAGUUUUCUCUGUUGAACAGCCUGAGAUGAUAAAUGCUAAAGUGGUAAACUGCUAACAUGUAUAGGUCUGGGACCAAGUGUCUCCAAACACAUGGUAAAGUCAGCAUUGUGCCUCUGCCAACUGCUCUCUUUUUCUUACCAUGUGCUGGCAAGGAGUCUGUGGCUCUUUCAGUAUAUCCUGUCUCUUGAUCAAAACCAAAAGCUUGUUAUAGCCUGUACAUUGUGCAGAAGCCUUCCCAACCAUUCCAUAAAUCCUUUACAUUUUUCCACAUGCAGAUGGUUUACAUUUUCCAUUCUCUCCUAUAUCUGCAUUGAAUAAAGUUUUUUAUCUUACAGUGACUUCAACUGAAAAAUAAGCACCCAUCCAUUAUACCAUUAUACCAUGUUUCUUCAUUUGAGAAAGAGUCUGAGGAGUACUCUUAUAAGUUUAUUACCUUUGCCUUGGAAAGCUUAGGACUUUAUAAACCUCUUUGACAUGAAGUACUCAUUGGGGGCUCUAUAGGAGUUAAGAAUCAAUAAUUUAUGUGGGGUUCCUUCUGCACUUCCUAGUCAAAAACCUCAGAGGUGGAGGGUAUUUUUUCUUGAUUUUUCUGGGCUCAGAAGAAAUUGUAAUAUUGAUGUGGUUCAGAAAAAGAUGAUUAAGUACUCUUCCCCUUUGCUUCUCCAAGAGUGCUUUCUUUGUUUUUAUACUAUAACAAGACAAGUGCCUUCUUCAGUCAGUGCUGCCAAGAAGCGGGUGUAGCCCCCAUGCAGGUCAUUAAUUCAUUAAUUCAACAGAGUCUAAACACAAAGUUUAGAAGGCAAAGUCAUAUCACUUGCAGUAAUUUGGUGUUAUCCCAGUAUUCAUGAUAAGAAACAGUUUUGUUAUGUUAACCCAGGGUUUGGUCUGGCUUGUCAGCCCUUGAAGGUCUGGAUUUUAACUGGGAAGAGUACUGUGCUAGACUGUCACUCAGAAAAUGAUACUGCACAGGCAUUGACAGUAUUUACAUGGCAUUUAGAGAAGCAAAUAAUUCAUUAAAUAUGAAUGGAAAUGAGACAAUUAUCACUUCUUCAUUGUUUCCUUUUUUCCACUCUCUGUAUUUCCUCUUCAGGGGGAUGGGAAACGUUCAUAUUCUUUUCCUUUGCUCUCACAGACCAUAACACUGGCUCAGCACAGGAGGGGGUGAACAGCUGCAUGAAGGCAGGAAAAAAUAAUCAAGACUGAAGGAGGACAGGAAAUUUUAAAACCAGUGCUGCCACUAGAGACGUGUAAGAUGACAUUGCACCUUCCACAGAGCUGAACAUUUGCUAACAUACCAGAACUCUCACAGAGAUGUUCUGCAUGUGUGUAUAUAUCACAUGCCCAGAAAGCACAGAGUUGGCUGCAGCAAUAAAUCCAAUUGGUGAAAAGUUCCAGCAUUUCUACAUAUUUUUCUUUUCACUUUAGUUGAAGGGUCUUUGCUGAACUCCAAAUGCUUCACUUCAAAUUUAGAGCCUUGUAGAUAUUUUUGUGUCUUUUUUUAAUAGUAUAUUUAUUUUAUCAUUAUAUAUCUGUUAAGAAAGUUUUUUGAAAGAAGUACUGUAGAUAUUUUAGUAGUAAGUAUGUUAAACUUUAUUCAGUAAAUUAAUUACAGAGUUAGGAAGUUACAGUCAUUAUUUAAUUGUUCACUGUUUCAUAAAUGAUAUUAAAAAUUAUAAUAUGACUGUCAAAUUAAAAUGUGAACAAUUUAAAACACAUUUCAAAAUUAAACAACUUUGAAAUUAUACAGUCUGGUACUUCUGAAUGUUUUGCUUCACAUUAACUCAAAGUAUCACUUUAGUAUUUCUCACCAAAAUUAGUGUUUCCUGUUUGUUGCUCAAGAUACACACAUAUUCUACAUCUGCUAUGUGCCAAGAUUUGUGUGGGUGGGUGUGCUAGCUAACAACUGUACCUAUGAACUUCUGUCUGCAGUGGGCAAGAGUAGAGCUAGGGAUGCAGCCUUGAGCAUGCCAUCUCAGUUGUGAGAGGCUUUUGAAGAGUAAGUAAAGAAACAAUAGAAUAAAAAAAAGUCAGAGGAGAAGAAACAGCUGUGAUACCAGGAUGCAAGCCCCCAGUAUUAUUUUGCUACUUACAGUCUCUGUUGCUGUUUAUUUGGUGCUUACCUGUUUUGCUGGACCUCAGCAAGCUGUGCACUUGCGCAGUUUUUCUUCAUUUCACCAGAUGGUUCCAGUGAAUUUCAUGGUCAAGAUCUGAUUCCCAAGGCUGUUAGAGGGGCUGGUCCUUUCUGUCUGGUAAGAUGCUUACUUAGCUCUAUCCAUUUUCUGAUUCUGCAGUUAAUUUGUUGCGGUAAUCCAUUUUACACAGAACAGGUUAGAUACUUUUGGAAGCAACCACAAAAACUUCCUAGGCUUACUAGAGAGAGGCAUGUUUACAUGAAGCAUUCAGUGUAAAAGUUGUAACAUUAGACCUCUACUAAUUUCUCUUUUGGUUUUGAGUCAACAAUAUUUCUACAAACAUUAAAACAUGUAACGCAAAUAAGGCAUCAGUCAUUCAGAAUUUCCUCUCUUUUUUUCCACCCCUCCUGUUGGAACUCUGUUGUUCCAGUUCUCUGACUAUUUGGACCAUUCCUGGAAUUCUUGUUUUUAAUUUAAAAGUUCCAGAAAUGUUGUUGUGCAGCUUGUCUGCAUCUUUUUUUUGCAAUUGAAAAUGAAAUCACUUUGCUGACAGAAUUUACAAUAUAGAAUAAGAGAAUCUCUAACUGUCCUAACCAGCUGUGCAUGUUCACAUUCAUGAAUCUAAAAGUGUGUGCAAAAGUUGUGGCAUGUUGUGAAGGUAUCCUGAGCUCUCUUUCAGUAUCAGACAGCAGAAAAGUAAUAAUGUGCAUAUACUUAGAGCAGCGUGAUGCCAGACUUUUAAAAAGGGGUUAUCAGAAAUUUAUGCUCUUUUAAUUGGCAAUAUAUAUGACGUUCCUCAAUUAGAGAUGUAUGGACACCUUCCUUUUACCUGUAACAUUCAUACUUUGACGUGCCUUCAUCCCAAACUUCUUUCCAGUUCCAAAUCUGUCACUCAGUUCCCACCACAUGACCUCUUUCCCCUUCUGCUAAUUUCAGGAAAGCUGCUUUUUUUGGCACAACAGGCAUGGCAAGGGCAAGUGUUGGUGUGGCAAACCACUACACCAGCCAUGACAGGUACCCUCAGAUUCUGCAUGUGAGGCAUUUGUGCUUGGCAGGUUAGAUGGUAGAUGAGGCAAUAGUCUCAUUUUGGUGUCUGUGACCCGUUUUCUUCACCUGCUGGUGAGUAUCAUUAUUUCACAACUUCUGGAUAGAUAUAUGGAUGAUAAAAACUGUGAGGUCCUCUACAGCCCUGGAUAUAUAACUCUAACAGGAGCUCAGGCAAGGAAAACUGAUGGCUGCAGAAGUGGGAGAUGUCUCCCCUAGGAGAACUUUUACCUUGGCCCUAUCUUCCCUGUGCAGUGGUUCAUUGUCUCACUGAGCUGUGAGCUGCUGGGGUAGUGGGGAACCUUCCUGAAUUGACCCUCUCUGAUGGUAUUAAGGCAUACAGCAGAGCAACAGAGAUAUCAAUAACAGUAAACACAGUUAGGCAAAAGUUAGCUUGUUUGCAGUUUUAGGAGGACAGUCAUGAUGUUAAAAUGCAGUUACCAUUCCCCAUGGUGAAGUCUUCAGCUCUUGCCUGCUAUGAUCACAUCACAUCGUUUUAGGGUUGACACAAUGAAUUUGGGAUGAGUACUGAGAUAAUUCUUGGGAUACACUCCAAAAUUCAUUAUUUCUGCUACAUACCCACAGCAAGGAAUCAUUAAGAUAUUUGAAGCAAUCUCUGACUGCCAUUUUACAAUACAAUAAAAUAUGUUUAUGCAACUGAAGUAUCUAUUAUGUGAGAGAAGGAAAAGAAUGAUUAAGUAGUAUAACAAAAGUGGCAUACUACCAGAGAUUUGGCUCACUUGCACUUUUCAUAAAUACAACUGUGUUAACUAAACUUUGAAAAUAUUUUCAGUUUGAGACAUAAAAAAAUGUAUAUAUGCAGUAGUUCUGGUUUUGAGAUGGAGUCCUGAAUAGCUGUAUUUGGUUCAAUAACUUUGUUUGGGAUAUUCCCCCUAAUAUUCUUUUGAAAAACUACUUCUUGUUGUAGAAGAUUCUCUAGCAACAGGAUUAACCCCAUAAUAUACAGAAUAUGAUCAGAGGGAAGUAAAGAAGCUGAGAAUGGAGUAAACCAUUACAGGAAGUGUAACCUGGUGUGCAUUACCAUUCAAACAGAAUUAUUUAAGGGAAACUUAAUUACCAAGGGAAAAGAAUAUGUAUCAGGAGAGGCAGCUAGUGAAGAGGUGAUGGAAGGGGUAAGGUGAGACAGCUCUUAGUUUGGAAGGUGUAUUGUCCACUGUGCUCUGUAUUGCUUUUUACACCUGACAAUGUCUUCCUGGCCCAGAGAAGUAGUGGUUUAAUACUGUACACCCAUAUAACACCAAAUUAAUUGCAUUGCUGUCUAUAUAAUUUCCUGACUAAUCAGCACCCACUCUUUAUCUUAUGACAGCAUUGUCCAGGGAUUAUGAUCCAGAGACUUGCAGAAAGAACUCCAUUGGGAUGAGAUCUGCAUUUGCCCUUUGUGCUUCCUAAGUCUAAAUGGAGAGGACACCAACAAGACUUUGAACAGCUGGUGAGCAUGGCACAGACUCCAUCCUCUGAAACAAGAUGGUAAAGUUUGUCCGAUGCUUUGGUACUCUUCAAAGCAACAGAACUGUCUGACUUCUAUUAUAACAAGUGAUCUGUUUCUAUUUUCAGAUAUGUAUUAAAGGCUUCUUCUGACUUAAA